GACGAACGCUGGCGGCGUGCCUAAUACAUGCGAGUAGAACGCACAGUUUAUACCGUAGCUUGCUACACCAUAGACUGUGAGUUGCGAACGGGUGAGUAACGCGUAGGUAACCUGCCUGGUAGCGGGGGAUAACUAUUGGAAACGAUAGCUAAUACCGCAUAAUAUUAAUUAUUGCAUGAUAAUUAAUUGAAAGGUGCAAUUGCACCACUACCAGAUGGACCUGCGUUGUAUUAGCUAGUAGGUGAGGUAACGGCUCACCUAGGCGACGAUACAUAGCCGACCUGAGAGGGUGAUCGGCCACACUGGGACUGAGACACGGCCCAGACUCCUACGGGAGGCAGCAGGAGGGAAUCUUCGGCAAUGGACGAAAGUCUGACCGAGCAACGCCGCGUGAGUGAAGAAGGUUUUCGGAUCGUAAAGCUCUGUUGUAAGAGAAGAACGGGUGUGAGAGUGGAAAGUUCACACUGUGACGGUAUCUUACCAGAAAGGGACGGCUAACUACGUG
rnacentral:rRNA from 1 species